GUGCCAGCAGCCGCGGUAAUACGUAGGUGGCAAGCGAUACUCGGAAUCACUAGGCGUAAAGCGCAGGUAGGCGGUUGGAUAAGUUUUUUGUGAAAGCUCCCGGCUUAACUGGGAGAGGCCAAGAAAUACUGUCUGACUCGAGUGUGGUAGGGGAAACUGGAAUUCCUGGUGUAGCGGUGAAAUGCGUAGAUAUCAGGAGGAAUACCUAUGGCGAAAGCAAGUUUCUGGGCCAUCACUGACGCUGAGCUGCGAAAGCUAGGGGAGCAAACAGGAUUAGAUACCCUAGUAGUCC
rnacentral:rRNA from 1 species